AAAAUAAAUAAAGACCAAGAUAGCCAGUUAAAGCCAGCUAAAACCAGCCUCAAUUUCGGACGCUGGACAAGAAGGCACAGACAACCCCACCAUCACAAAGGUGCAUUUGCAGAGGCUCUGCCUCCCCCAGCUCUGCAUUCCAGCCUGGAUGAUCAGCAAUCACAGCUGCACACUCCCCAACCUCUGAGAGCUUUCUGUCCUCUCUCUACCCAAAUCCUCCUUCCGUUAACUCCCAGCGCGGGCCCCGCUCCUGCCCUGCACACCGGGGACAAAAAGCGCUCAUUUGUGCCGGAGCCAGGCAGCGGCAGCCAGGCACAGGUAACUGCAGUACGGGUAACUGCAGUACAGGUAACUCCUGUACAGGUAACUCCUGUACAGGUAACUGCAGUACAGGUAACUGCAGUACAGGUAACUCCUGUACGGGUAACUCCUGUACGGGUAACUCCUGUACGGGUAACCUGUGUACAGGUAGCUCCUGUACAGGUAACUCCAGUACAGGUAACUGCAUUACAGGUAACUGCAGUACAGGUAACCUGUGUACAGGUAACUGCAGUACAGGUAACUGCAGUACGAGUAACCUGUGUACAGGUAACUGCAGUACAGGUAACUGCAGUACAGGUAACUGCAGUACGGGUAACCUGUGUACAGGUAGCUCCAGUACAGGUAACCCCUGUACAGGUAACCCCAGCACGGGUAACCUGCGCACAGGUAACUCCAGUACAGCUAACCCGCAUACAGCGCAUAGGUAACCCCUGUACAGGUAACCCGCACACAGGUAAUCCCUUUACAGCUAACCCCUGUACAGCUAACCCGCGUACAGAUAACUCCAGUACAGGUAAUCCCUGUACAGGUAACUCCUGUACAGGUAACCCAUGUACAGGUAACUCCAGUACAGGUAACCCCUGUACAGGUAACUCCAGUAUGGGUAACCUGUGUACAGGUAACUCCUGUACAGGUAACUCCAGUAUGGGUAACCCGCGCACAGCUAACCCAUGUACAGCUAACCNCAGGGGGCGCUCUGCGGGCGGGGCAGGCGCGCGGCGGGAGCGGCGGCGCUCUGGCCCCGGCCGAGCCCUCAGGGCACCACCGAGAGGGCGGGACUGUGGCUGCUGA
rnacentral:lncRNA from 1 species